UGUGGUUAGUAGAAAAGAGACUCACAAACUCAUCAGGGACUCGGCUCAUCUUGAAUCUACAGUGAAACAUUGACCAGAGAUUCUCAACCCGAAAAAGAAUUUUGAAAUCAUCAGAAUUUCGUUGUGCGUCUCUCAAUUACAAGUUGUAUAUCUGAAAAGGCACUGAUUAAAAACAGUUUACAAGGGAAAAAAGCCUCUCUGCUCCUGCAAAGUCUUUUUUGUUUCAGUUUGAUACUACACAGGAGGAAGGUCACAAUCACUCAAAUCACUGAAGCACUGCUUAUCGCACACUGUAAAUACUUGAGUGUUUGCUCAAUAGUACAAGAAGGCUCGUGAAAAAAAUGACGAGGGAUCAGAGAGAUGGUCAUGCACCAAGGAAGAGAAAGAAUAGGAAAAAAAGUUGAAAAGUUGUUGACAGACACUUAUGUAUUCCCUGCGACAAAAGCAAAACCUUACUUUCAGGAUGAGAGGCGCAAACAACUUUUGUGUGUGGAAAAGUUUACUGGACUCUAUCGCUCAUAAUAAAGGUGAUGCCGAAGAUAAGAACUGAAUCACUGCAAGCUCCAUUGGACAUUUUCACCGUCUGCAUAGUUCAUGGGCAAAAUAAUUUGCUUCCAUUCGGAUUUCAGGAAGAAUAACAACUGGCAAAAACGGAGCUUGCACCUGAGCUGUAGAGCUUCUUGACAGCAACAGGCAACAGCAAGAUGAGCGGAUGAUGACACUUGAUUUCCUGCCAUGAAGUCAAGUAGGCACACGCACAAUGAAAUGAACAGAUGAAUGUGGGACCUUCAGGCAUCUGGAAAUUGCACCCGAGGAUGAACCAGACUUAUAGAGCGUUCCAGGCAGCGGCUGUGAUCAUCACGUCGUGAUAGCGUCUAAUAAAGCUGCACAUGCCCGCACGAGGAUUCAUCUUUCACCUGUCACACUUGUGGGUGACAGCAUUCAUUUUGUCUGUGAUGAGGCGGUUACAGGGCCACAAUAUGACUGAACUAUGACUGUGGCGGGGCGCUCAAUCGCCUGGCGAGGACUAGAGGAAAUACUGUGUAAACAUCAGUGCUGCUUUUAACUGUGUUAUUGUGGGCUCCCCGAACAAGAACAAAAUACUAAACGUUAAUCACUGCAAUUCCAAAUGAAUAUAUACACAUUAUGGCCAGUCUGUGUUAGGGGCAGGGGCAACAGUCUUCCAACAGAUGUUACUAUUUUUUAUUCUUACUAAUAUUAAUA